GAGGCAAUAGCUUACCAAGGCGAUGAUCAGUAGCUGGUCCGAGAGGAUGAUCAGCCACACUGGGACUGAGACACGGCCCAGACUCCUACGGGAGGCAGCAGUGGGGAAUUUUCCGCAAUGGGCGAAAGCCUGACGGAGCAAUGCCGCGUGGAGGCGGAAGGCCUACGGGUCGUCAACUUCUUUUCUCGGAGAAGAAACAAUGAC
rnacentral:ncRNA from 1 species